rnacentral:rRNA from 1 species
AGAGUUUGAUCAUGGCUCAGGACGAACGCUGGCGGCGUGCUUAACACAUGCAAGUCGAACGGAAAGGCCCUUUCGGGGGUGCUCGAGUGGCGAACGGGUGAGUAACACGUGGGUGAUCUGCCCUGCACUUUGGGAUAAGCCUGGGAAACUGGGUCUAAUACCGGAUAGGACUACGCGAUGCAUGUCGUGUGGUGGAAAGCUUUUGCGGUGUGGGAUGGGCCCGCGGCCUAUCAGCUUGUUGGUGGGGUGAUGGCCUACCAAGGCGACGACGGGUAGCCGGCCUGAGAGGGUGUCCGGCCACACUGGGACUGAGAUACGGCCCAGACUCCUACGGGAGGCAGCAGUGGGGAAUAUUGCACAAUGGGCGCAAGCCUGAUGCAGCGACGCCGCGUGAGGGAUGACGGCCUUCGGGUUGUAAACCUCUUUCAGUAGGGACGAAGCGCAAGUGACGGUACCUAUAGAAGAAGCACCGGCCAACUACGUGCCAGCAGCCGCGGUAAUACGUAGGGUGCGAGCGUUGUCCGGAAUUACUGGGCGUAAAGAGCUCGUAGGUGGUUUGUCGCGUUGUCCGUGAAAACUCACAACUCAAUUGUGGGCGUGCGGGCGAUACGGGCAGACUGGAGUACUGCAGGGGAGACUGGAAUUCCUGGUGUAGCGGUGGAAUGCGCAGAUAUCAGGAGGAACACCGGUGGCGAAGGCGGGUCUCUGGGCAGUAACUGACGCUGAGGAGCGAAAGCGUGGGGAGCGAACAGGAUUAGAUACCCUAGUAGUCC